rnacentral:tRNA from 1 species
CGGGGCGUAGCGCAGCCUGGUAGCGCACACGUCUGGGGGGCGUGUGGUCGCUGGUUCGAAUCCAGUCGCCCCGACCA